GACAAGAUGGCCGAGGGGUCUAAGGCACCGUUAGCCAGGGACUGCGGUCCCGAAAGGGGCGUGGGUUCGAAUCCCACUCUUGUCC